rnacentral:rRNA from 1 species
AGCAGUCGCGGUAAUUCCAGCUCCAAUAGCGUAUAUUAAAGUUGUUGCAGUUAAAAAGCUCGUAGUUAAAUUUCGGGAUCAGUACGCCGGUCGUGCCUUCGGUAUGUACUGGUGUCACUGGUUCCUCCCUUCUGAAGAACCGUUAUGCCAUUCAUUUGGUGUGACGGGGAAUCAGGACUGUUACUUUGAAAAAAUUAGAGUGUUUAAAGCAGGCUCGCGCUUGAAUACAUUAGCAUGGAAUAAUGAAAUAGGACGUUUGAUCUUAUUUUGUUGGUUUCUAGGAUCGACGUAAUGAUUAAUAGGGAUAGUUGGGGGCAUUAGUAUUCAAUUGUCAGAGGUGAAACUUCUUGGAUUUAUUGAAGACUAACUACUGCGAAAGCAUUUGCCAAGGAUGUUUUCAUUAAUCAAGAACGAAAGUUAGGGGAUCGAAGACGAUCAGAUACCGUCGUA